UGGGGAAUAUUGGACAAUGGGCGAAAGCCUGAUCCAGCCAUGCCGCGUGUGUGAAGAAGGUCUUCGGAUUGUAAAGCACUUUAAGUUGGGAGGAAGGGCAGUAAGUUAAUACCUUGCUGUUUUGACGUUACCGACAGAAUAAGCACCGGCUAACUCUGUGCCAGCAGCCGCGGUAAUACAGAGGGUGCAAGCGUUAAUCGGAAUUACUGGGCGUAAAGCGCGCGUAGGUGGUUUGUUAAGUUGGAUGUGAAAGCCCCGGGCUCAACCUGGGAACUGCAUCCAAAACUGGCAAGCUAGAGUACGGUAGAGGGUGGUGGAAUUUCCUGUGUAGCGGUGAAAUGCGUAGAUAUAGGAAGGAACACCAGUGGCGAAGGCGACCACCUGGACUGAUACUGACACUGAGGUGCGAAAGCGUGGGGAGCAAACAGGAUUAGAUACCCCGUAGUCCCUGAGCGGGCUGGCAAGGCGCAU
rnacentral:rRNA from 1 species